UUUGAUCUCUUUCACUCUUCAGGUAACUUGCACUUCUCUGGUUUUUGAUUUGCCUGGCCUUUACGAAUUACGAUCCAUUAAUGAUAGCUUAUUUAGUUACAAGUUUUAUAUUAUCAGUUGUAUUUAAGCAAGCAAUUUUCUUGUCGUUUUAUACUUGUCGUUCUAUGUCUAGAUCUUUGAAUUCAAGCUUUUAUUACUUUGCGUAAAUGUCGGACAUAGAAUUUGAUUGCUUUUUCCAUGUGGGUAUGUUUCUCUUUUUCUGAAAUGAUAGCUGUUUCUUCAAAUAUGAUAUUCCUUCUAUGUUGAUUUUCAAACUUUUAAUGGUGCUUCUUUCAAACCCUUUUUCCUUUUUCUUCCCAACAAUUAUUG
rnacentral:misc_RNA from 1 species